rnacentral:rRNA from 1 species
GAUGAACGCUAGCUACAGGCUUAACACAUGCAAGUCGCGGGGCAGCAUGGGGGUUGCUUGCAAUCCCCGAUGGCGACCGGCGCACGGGUGAGUAACGCGUAUCCAACCUGCCCUUCACCACGGGAUAACCCGGCGAAAGUCGGACUAAUACCGUAUGUUGUCCAUUGACGGCAUCCGAUUUGGACGAAAGGUUUGGCGGUGAAGGAUGGGGAUGCGCCCGAUUAGCUGGACGGCGGGGUGACGGCCCACCGUGGCGACGAUCGGUAGGGGUUCUGAGAGGAAGGUCCCCCACACUGGAACUGAGACACGGUCCAGACUCCUACGGGAGGCAGCAGUGAGGAAUAUUGGUCAAUGGGCGUAAGCCUGAACCAGCUAAGUAGCGUGCAGGAUGACGGCCCUAUGGGUUGUAAACUGCUUUUAUGCGGGGAUAAAGUGGCCCACGUGUGGGUUUUUGCAGGUACCGCAUGAAUAAGGACCGGCUAAUUCCGUG